CUGUAAGUCAGUAUGUUAUAUCAAGCACCUCCUCCUCCUGAUUCAGAUUCAUCCAAUUGGCAGAAACAGGAAGUGACAUUAGAGACGCACUUCCGUGCGUUCCAACGAACACUUCUGUGCAUUUCAACUGGUCUAGUGAUCCAAAAUGGCUGUGCUUUCCACCGUAGAUCCGGGAAAGUGAUAUGCUAUCCCCUUGUAAUUUU